UACACAGUUGGAACAAAUGUUUUACACUAAAUUAAAGCUACUACAUUAUAUAUAAAUGGAAAGGUAAACGCUGCUAAACCGAGGUUCUUAUCUGUGCAUAAGGACCUCGAAGUAGAGUUUAAUAACAACACAGAGGUGAUCGAGUGCAAUAGUCAGUUUAUGACUCAACAGUUCUCGAAUGGUUUUAUUUCCUUGGAAGAAGCCGAAAAGAUCACUGCUGGCACUUUCUUUGAUGCGGUUUGUAUUUUAGUUAAAGUAAAAGCACUAAAUAGAGAUGGACGAACCAAAAGGCGAGAAGUCAUAGUUACAAACGAAAGGUAUGAUCGUAAAAUAAUGACUUUGUGGGGAGACUUAGCUGAAAUUGACGGAGAAUUUUUAGAGAACCUUUGAAAAUACCAAACCUGUGCUUGCUUUUUGUGAUGUUAAAUGCUCUAUUUACAAAGGUAUAAUUACACCUGCAUUACAUAUUUGUAUCAAUAUUAUAGGAACUCUGAAUUUAUCACUAAAUUUAUUAAACCUAUUGAAAGAAGUUAUUUCCCUGCCAUUCACAACA